rnacentral:rRNA from 1 species
CCUGGCCUACGGGAGGCAGCAGUGGGGGAUAUUGCACAAUGGGGGGAACCCUGAUGCAGCGACGCCGCGUGGGUGAAGGAGUGCUUCGGCAUGUAAAGCCCUAUCGGCAGGGAAGAGGCAAGACGGUACCUGACUAAGAAGCCCCGGCUAACUACGUGCCAGCAGCCGCGGUAAUACGUAGGGGGCAAGCGUUAUCCGGAUUUACUGGGUGUAAAGGGAGCGUAGACGGCGGCGCAAGUCCGGAGUGAAAGCCCACGGCCCCACCGUGGGACUGCUCUGGAAACUGUGCGGCUUGAGUGCGGGAG